CAACUAACUGAGUGUCACGAUCAGACACAAGUGGAGUUCACUGAUCAGAAUCAAACACAAUGGCAGAUGAUUAUUAUUAUCAUAUCUGCUCUGAUGAACGGGCUUCUGAUCAUUGUGGUGAUCGUUUUUGCUGCUGGAAAAGCACAACAGUUGGAAAAACAUAUUCAUAAUACUGAUCUGCAAACACGAGUUAUAUAUCAACCAUAAGAACCAAACCAAUUUCUUCAAUUGUAAAAGUAAUAUCUGAGUAUUUGGGACACUUGUUACACUUCUUACUCCAGUGAAGUCUGUAAAAA